AUGCCAGGAUCACAAGCCGACAAGACUGACUGGGAGAACAUGACGAAUAAGGAUUUGCAUGAUAAAUUUCAGCAAAUGAUGAGUGGACAGGUGCAAGAUGUGCUAAACAGAUUUGAAGAGGCCAUGGAAAAGAUAGAUGGCAUGGAGAAGUCGUUCGAAACAAAGCUCAAUAACAAGUUUAAUGAAUUUCUCGCGCGUCUUCCACCACCACCACCCAUUGCACCUAACGCACCUCUCCAACAACAACAACAACGACUACCUCCACGUCGUGAAACAGCCCUCCGCCGAGCGAGCCGUGUCCCUCUUGCGUUUGGCCAAACUGUUGGUGCUGCUGUUGAUACUUCUGUGGCUCCUGCUGCUGAUGCGAAGGAGGAGGAUUAUGUGGGAGAUUACGAGGAUGAGGUUGAUCAAAAUCAGAACUACGUGCAACCACCUGCACCACAACCACCAGGUCGUCCACAUGCAAAUAAUCACAAUGGUAGGGCUCUCCCUCAGGUACGAGAUCAUGACCAUCUUCCUAAACUGAAAUUGAAUAUUCCACCAUUUGAGGGUAGAUAUGUUCCUGAUAUAUAUCUUACUUGGGAGUUAGAAACUGAACAACGAUUUACAUGUUUACAAUAUCCCGAGGAGAGACGGGUUGCCGCUGCUGUUUGUGCUUUCACUAGUUUUGCAUGUGUAUGGUGGUCUGAACAUUGUAGAUUAUAUCCUAUUCCAACUACUUGGGCUGCUAUGAAAACUGCUAUGUGUACUCGUUGGGUUCCACCAUAUUAUCAACGUGAAUUGCUUAAAAAUUUGCAGCGCUUCAGACAAGUGAAAAAUUCUGUAGAAGAAUAUUAUCAGGAAUUAAACACUAGCAUGAUUAGAUGUGGUAUUGUUGAGGAGAAUGAAGCUAUGCUUGCACGUUUUCUGGGUGGAUUAAAUAGAGAGAUUCAGACCAUUCUAGACUAUAAGGAGUAUACUAAUAUCACUCGUUUAUUCCAUCUUGCUUGUAAAGCUGAACGUGAAGUGCAGGAUCGAUAA
rnacentral:rRNA from 1 species